GCCUAUCCCCUCUGCAGGGCAGAAGGGACGGUGCUGCGGGAGGCGGAGGUGCUGUGGCUCUGGGAAGGCUGAAAGGGACGGCUGCAAAGGCGAAGAGCUUCGAGUCCUUUCCAUCAGGAGAAAAACCCGGUCAGCUGUGGAGGAGCACUGCACAGGAGUCAGAAAGUGGAGUCUGGGCGUGACCUUGCACCUGACCAGCCUGGGGCUCCAGGUCCGCCACAUCUGGACUAAUCUCCUGUGUCCUGAGCUACCAGGACCCCAGAGGCAAGCAUGGAGGGGCCAUGCUGGCAGAGGACCUGGUUUUGCUCCAGGUGGCUACAUGCACAGCUAUAAACUCAACCUGCAACAUCCAUUGCAGCUGGGGUGGCCAUGCAAUCCUAUUCCAGCUGAUGAAGCAUACACAGAAGUCACUGGGAGAGUGUCAGGAAAGUCUGGCUUCCCAGGAUAUCUCAUCCUUCCUUCUAGCGAGUUUCUUCUACUUCCUGCCAGAAAUACAGGUAUUCUUCUCUCCUCCCUGAAGGUACAGCAGCCACUAUAUGACCAUGAGGACAGAAGCCACACAUUCAGGCAAAAGAGAGGAAUCUGGAAUAUGGCAACAUCUUGGAACUUUGCUCCAGCUCUU
rnacentral:lncRNA from 1 species